GUAGUCCACGCCCUAAACGAUGGAUACUAGACGUAAGAGGUAUCGACCCCUCUUGUGUCGCAGCUAACGCACUAAGUAUCCCGCCUGGGGAGUACGGCCGCAAGGUUGAAACUCAAAUGAAUUGACGGGGACCCGCACAAGCGGUGGAGCAUGUGGAUUAAUUCGAUACUAACCGAAGAACCUUACCCAGGUUUGACAUCGAUGGUAAGCCCAUGAAAGUGGGCCCUCCCUCACAAGGGGACCAGAAGACACUUGUUGCAUGGCUGUCGUCAGCUCGUGCCGUGAGGUGUACGGUUAAGUCCGCCAACGAGCGCAACCCUCGUUCUAUGUUGCCAGCGAGUAAAGUCGGGAACUCAUAGGAGACCGCCGGUGUAAAUCGGA
rnacentral:rRNA from 1 species